rnacentral:rRNA from 1 species
GUCUUUUUGAAAAUAAUAUAAAGUCUAAUCUGCCCACUGAAAUUAUUUUAAAGGGCUGCAGUAUAUUGACUGUACAAAGGUAGCAUAAUCAAUAGUCUUUUAAUUGAAGACUUGUAUGAAUGAUUUAAUGAAAUAUAAACUGUCUCAUUAUUAAGAAUAGAAUUUAAUUUUUUAGUUAAAAAGCUAAAAUAAAUUUAAAAGACGAGAAGACCCUAUAGAGUUUUAUAUUUUUUAAUAUUUUAAUUUUAUAUAAAAUUUUAAAUUAAAAUGUUAGUAAAUAUUUUGUUGGGGUGAUAUAAAAAUUAAAAAAACUUUUUAAAAAUUAAAACAUUAAUAUAUGAGUAUUUGAUCCAUAAUUUAUGAUUAAAAGAAAAAAUUACCUUAGGGAUAACAGCGUAAUUUUUUCUUUUAGUUCAAAUAAAAGUUAAAGUUUGCGACCUCGAUGUUGGAUUAAGAUAAAAUUUAAAAGCAAAAUUUUAAAAUUUUGAUCUGUUCGAUCAUUAAAAUCUU